rnacentral:rRNA from 1 species
GACGGAGGGGGCAAGCGUUGUUCGGAAUUACUGGGCGUAAAGGGCGCGUAGGCGGCCUGCUAAGUCGAACGUGAAAUCCCUGGGCUCAACCCAGGAACUGCGUCCGAUACUGGUUGGCUUGAAUCCGGGAGAGGGAUGUGGAAUUCCAGGUGUAGCGGUGAAAUGCGUAGAUAUCUGGAGGAACACCGGUGGCGAAGGCGACAUCCUGGACCGGUAUUGACGCUGAGGCGCGAAAGCCAGGGGAGCAAACGGG